AAAAGACUUGAUUACCUCCUUUGAUGUAAAACUGGUCGAAGGAUUGCCUCAACAAGUCGAAGCUGAUUGCGGUGUAUUUGCGGCAUCAUUUGCCGAGUAUUUCAUUGAGGGCAAGACGCCUCC